AACGGCGGCCGUAACUAUAACGGUCCUAAGGUAGCGAAAUUCCUUGUCGGGUAAGUUCCGACCUGCACGAAUGGCGUAACGACUUGGGCGCUGUCUCGGCGAGGGGCUCGGCGAACUUGAGAUACCGGUGAAGACGCCGGUUACCCGCAGCUAGACGGAAAGACCCCGUGCACCUUUACUACAGCUUGGCAGUGAGCUUUGGCAGUGCAUGUGUAGGAUAGGUGGGAGGCACUGAAGCGGUGGCGCCAGCUGCCGUGGAGCCGUCCUUGAAAUACCACCCUUGUGCUGUUGGGGCUCUAACCUGCGGCCGUGAAUCCGGCCGAGGGACACUGUCUGGCGGGUAGUUUGACUGGGGCGGUCGCCUCCUAAAAGGUAACGGAGGCGUCCAAAGGUCUCCUCAGGCUGGACGGAAACCAGCCGUUGAGUGCAAAGGCAUAAGGAGGCUUGACUGCGAGGCCGACGGGCCGAGCAGGUGGGAAACCAGGGCUUAGUGAUCCGGUGGCUCCGUGUGGAAGGGCCAUCGCUCAACGGAUAAAAGGUACGCCGGGGAUAACAGGCUGAUCGGGCCCAAGAGUUCACAUCGACGGCCCGGUUUGGCACCUCGAUGUCGACUCAUCGCAUCCUGGGGCUGAAGUAGGUCCCAAGGGUUGGGCUGUUCGCCCAUUAAAGCGGUACGAGAGUUGGGUUCAGAACGUCGUGAGACAGUUCGGUCCCUAUCUGCUGCGGGCGUAGGAGACUUGAGGGGAGCCGUCCCCAGUACGAGAGGACCGGGAUGGACGGACCUCUGGUGUUCCGGUUGUCGCACCAGCGGCAACGCCGGGUAGCCAUGUCCGGACGGGAUAAACGCUGAAGGCAUCUAAGCGUGAAGCCCACCCCAAGAUGAGGUCUCCCGAGCCGUAAGGCUCCCGAAGGUCCCUGGUAGACUACCAGGUCGAUAGGCUGGAGGCGUAAGGGUAGAAAUGCCCUCAGCUGACCAGUACUAAUAGACCGAGCGCCUUGACCCC
rnacentral:rRNA from 1 species